CCUACGGGGGGCAGCAGUGGGGAAUAUUGGACAAUGGACCGAGAGUCUGAUCCAGCAAUUCUGUGUGCACGAUGAAGUUUUUCGGAAUGUAAAGUGCUUUCAGUUGGGAAGAAAGAAAUGACGGUACCAACAGAAGAAGUGACGGCUAAAUACGUGCCAGCAGCCGCGGUAAUACGUAUGUCACGAGCGUUAUCCGGAUUUAUUGGGCGUAAAGCGCGUCUAGGUGGUUAUAUAAGUCUGAUGUGAAAAUGCAGGGCUCAACUCUGUAUUGCGUUGGAAACUGUAUAACUAGAGUACUGGAGAGGUAAGCGGAACUACAAGUGUAGAGGUGAAAUUCGUAGAUAUUUGUAGGAAUGCCGAUGGGGAAGCCAGCUUACUGGACAGAUACUGACGCUGAAGCGCGAAAGCGUGGGUAGCAAACAGGAUUAGAUACCCGGGUAGUC
rnacentral:rRNA from 1 species